AACCGGUCCUUUCAUUUGGUCAAAGUAGAUGAAGAAGAAAGCUAAAAAGUUCCAAUUCUUCUCAUCUCGAACUCAGAGAAAUAAAGGGGCAUGUACAUUGUACAGUCUUUAAUUAAAGACUUAAAGUCCCUUUAGAUCUAUUCGCCUCUUUCUUCUCUCAAGAGUCAAGGCGACAUAAAGUCCCUCUUACGCUCCUCUGAUUCUUUUAAAUCGUCUUUCUACCUUCCAACUUACAGGUUGCUGGUCGGAAUUCCCACGGAAUUUUUCUGUUCAGCUCUUUCUUCUCCCAAGAGUCAAGACGACUUAAAGACCCUCAUACGCUCCUCUGGUUCUUUUACGUCGUUUUUCUGCCUUCUAACUUACAAGUUGCUGGUAGGAAUUCUCACGGAAUGUUUACUUAAAGUGAGACAAAGUACUUGGGUCAAAGUACUUGGAUGGGAUUUGACCAAAUCUGAGACGGACGCACCCUGCACCAGUGUUGCGUAGAGACGGGUUCGGCGGCAAAAAUGACGAGUCCGCCCAACAUAUAUAUCAACAAAAGGACAUCUCAUGGGAGUUGAGACACUAUCGUAUGCUUUUUGCUAGCAUUUGCACAUCUCCACUGAUAAUUCCACAGGAAAACCUGCCACCACCCACCAGAAGCAACCACCAGGUAACUCUGUUCACCAAGGCUACAACAAAUGGGAAUAAAUCAC